CGAACGCGCUUGGGGGCGCGCGUGCCGUGCACGCGCAGGGCCGCCCGGAGGGCCCGGAGGGAGCUGCAAGGCGCCUCAGUGGCUCCCACAGGACGCAGGUCCUGUCUGCAGCCGCCAAGGUCAAGGGCUGUGGUUUGAGACUGCUUGCAGCUGCUUCCUGUCCCCCACUGCGCUGAGGGACAGAUGUUAAAAAACUGCUCUCAAUUUGAUUAUUUCCUGCCAUCUAAUCCUCCUUGGACCUGUCCAGUGGUGACCAUGUAAGAGCCAUGUGAGAACCAUGUGAAAGCCAUAUGAAGACCAUGUGCAGAUCACAUGAAGGCCACGUGAAGAUCAUGUGAAAACAACGUGAAGGCCACAAUCUCUUGUUCAUGGACACCUGCAGUUUAUCCAAAGUCAUUUAUCAUUAUUUUCUCAAUAAUAAACCCUUUUU